CAGUCAAACAAGCAACCGCAGAAGUCUCACCAACCUCCAUCUUUUAUUCAUUUUCUAUUUGUUUUAAGCCAUUUGCAUAUGUCUUACGGACUUACUUAAAGAGAAAGUUACGUUAUGCGUUAUGACGGUACCUGCACGUUCUUUGUUUUCCGGAUGGAUCACGCUCGUUCUCAGUGGUUGGCACCAAGACCUUCUGCCAAUUGACUUUUCGCAAACCACCACCUUCGUCUCGUGAAAAUAUAGACUAUACGGCUCUUUUUUUUUUAUUUUUAUGAGCGAUUACAUCAUGGGGUGCCAGGCUCGCUCGCCCCCCGCCCCAUCAGAGUACAACAUUUUAUUGUGAGAUGGUUUGCUUUAAAGUGCAGAAGUUCACAGUGUUAAAAGUGCCUGAAGUUGAAGAAACACCCUUAUAUCGAUAAAAUGCAUACCUUGGAUGCACUACAUGGAAAUGGCCCAUACAGCAACAUUGUUGUUCAGUCCAGUGGUGAUGCAAAUAUCCAGCUAGUAGCUACACAGAAACGCUGAUGUGUACUCAACAUGAUAUAUGAGGAAUAGUUCACCCAAAAAUGAAAAUUCUGUCAUCAUUUAGUUACCUUUUGCAACUUUCAACCCAUACGUGGCAGGGCGGAGGGCGUGGCUGGGCCAUAAUGCUGCACACCCGGCCCCAAUCAGGCUGAUCAAGCCCGAGAGGGAUAAAGGCGAUUGGAGGCGGCAGUUCGAGAGAGAGAGAACUACAGGCAGCUGCCCUGUAUGUGUUUGUGUUUGUCUUUUUAAGUUAACCAUUAAAUAUUAUUUAUAUUGUUAAGCCGGUUCUCGCCUCCUCCUUUCCAUUGAACUUUGUUACACUGGUGCCGCAACCCGGGAAGGAGGAGGGAUGCACCGUAGUAGAGUCCUCGCCACUACCGUUCACCGAAAUCGGAGCAGCCGCGGCCAUCUGCUGGGGGACAGAGGAGCCCGGCUGCCUGAAUGCGGAGGAAUGGCCGCCGACCACGAGGGGAGCAGGGGCUCCUAGCCGACCGCCUGGAGUGGUCAGGGCCACUGCCAGGGGCGGAGGAGAUCCCUACCGGCCGCUAAAACGCAGCGGGGUCAAGAGAGGACCAUCGACCGUGAGCAGGGAGGGGCUCCUAGCCGACCGCCUGGAGUGGUCAGGGCCACUGCCAGGGGCGGAGGAGAUCCCUACCGGCCGCUAAAACGCAGCGGGGUCAAGAGAGGACCAUCGACCGUGAGCAGGGAGGGGCUCCUAGCCGACCGCCUGGAGUGGUCAGGGCCACUGCCAGGGGCGGAGGAGAUCCCUACCGGCCGCUAAAACGCAGCGGGGUCAAGAGAGGACCAUCGACCGUGAGCAGGGAGGGGCUCCUAGCCGACCGCCUGGAGCGGGAGAACCGCUGCCAGGGGCAGGGGAGACCCCUACCAUCCACUGAAAACACAGCGGAGGACUGCCUCCAAUCCGCCCGGGGAGGUGCGGCUGUCUUCCUUUGGCCGAGGAUCAAGCUACGGUGUAUCAGA